GUGACUGGAAAGGGCUGGAGCCAGGAUCCAUCCCAUCCCAGACCUCACUUAAGAGUUGGAGGUGGAGAUAAGGUUAUUUUGCUGGAGAUCCCUACCUUAUUGAGGCCUUCCAAAGGUAAGCAGUUUUUCUUCCUUUGUUUCUGCGUCUGUAACUGCUACAUUUAGGCUUGUUCUCCUUUGCUAUAGCCUAGGAUAGUGCUACUCUUCUAUUAUUGCUGUACUUUCCAUCACAUUAUAGUGUUACACAACCCAAUUCCAUGUUCUGUCCCAAUUUCCCUGUGUCUGAUGUCCUCAUUCCUAAAUGUUGUUUGUAAAGCUGCAUCUUCAAUGUUAUUUCUAACUCCUUCCAAGUCAAAUCUUACCAGUGAUUCUAAGUGAGGUGCAGUUAUUUCAACUUGCUCUACUUGUGACAGCAUAGGCUUCUUCAAGCAGUGGCCACUGACAAAGCUAUCACUUUGGGAGAGCUUCAUGCCCUGAACCCAACUGAAUCAACUGAAUCCAUCUAACCUUAACAAGGAGGCAAGAUCCAGAAAAAGAUUUCCUCCUGUUUACAUAAAUUAAGGAUCAGGUCCCCGGUUUCCAGUCCAGCCAAGGAGGACUCAAGCACAAUGAGAGAGAUUGUCCUCUCAGGAUUUCCAGCUGAGUAGAGUCCAAAGAGCCAGAAAUGCUGUGGGAAGGACUGUUUUCAGGGAAAUUCCACCCCACAUUUUCCAUACAUAGCAUCAGUGCAUUUCCAUUACCUGAAAUGGAGUCACUUUUGGUUUAGCCUGGUACGAGAUCAGAAUCAGACUCAUUAAAUUUAGCCUUCAAGCUGCCGUCUUUCAUGAGUAGGCUGAUUUAAGCUGGAAAUAAGAGCAUUUAUGCCAGAGUAAGGAUUCCACAUGGAAAGAUAAGAAACAAUUGUGGUUUAAGGCCACAGAUUUCAAUUUCUGCUACUGAGAGGCUUCUCUUUUGAAAGGACGGUGCUGAGAGGAGGAUAUACAAAUAAAUGUUAUGUGCCAAUACUGGAGCCUGUGUCUGUGAGGACUGACAAGAUAGAUAAUUUAGAAUUGAAAUAAGAAAGUUCAUUUCUUUGUGAUCCAAAUUCACCAAAACUCACCUAAUUUUUUAUGCAGACAUUUUGGAUGGUUCUCAGUUGGGUUGCUCAGGAGGGUUGCUCAGCUGGGCUCACAGCAGUUCCCACAUUCUGUAUAUAGGAGCUAAAGACCUAAAUACUAGUUCUGAUAAUGAUCUGCAGAUGCUGACCUUGUAAUUCUCAUUUUCAGUGUUUAAAAAUGAGUAUCUGAAACUCAUCUCCCUCUUUCCCCCAACCAGAAAUUGUAGUAUUCCUGUUCUGUCUUAAUAUUU